UACUCAUACACCACUUUUAGUUAGGGGAAAAAACCUCUAAGAAUAUUAAAAUGACAUCUUUGUCUUUCUUAGUGCAGCAGCUGAGACUUAAUAUUUACCAAAACAAAAGAGAAGCAUAGAGGAAGAUAGAAUGGCUUCGUGCCCCGAUCCCCUGAUCCUCCAACCUGACAGCAGUGUUUGCAAAGGGUGUUCUGGUCACGGCAGCUGUGAAGGCGGUCAAAGCCUCAGGGACCAGCCACCCCUCAGCAGCCCCCUUCCUGGGCUGGUCAGACUGUGUACCAGGGACCCACCAGGAGUGAGAGCUAUCCCAUAAGGAUCUUCAGCUGCGAUGUUACUUGGUGCAGAUGAAGAUGAGCUGGGCUCCAGAGCAAGGAUUCAUCAAGGUAGGGCAGGUGAAGAGAUGGUUUUUCUUUAUUCAUUAAAAAAAAAAAAAAAGAUUUCCUUUAGCUUGAAGCUAUUGUUUAAUUAAAAGGUUUUUCUCCCUGGCUUCCCCUGCUCCUCUCUAUGCUCCUCCUGCAAACAGCCUGCCUGCUAAAUGGUUUCCCAGUUAUGAACAGACAAAAUCAGCCUUUCAUGUAAUCCGCCCUCUGUGGAGCACACCACAUGGGCGAUGCUUUCAGUUUGAGCCUCCACAGUAGAAGAUUCCACCUGCGAUACAGGAGAC
ensembl:lncRNA